AGAGUUUGAUUCUGGCUCAGAAUGAACGCUGGCGGCGUGCUUAACACAUGCAAGUCGAACGAGAAAGGUGGUGCUUGCAUCGCCGAGUAUAGUGGCGCACGGGUGAGUAACAUGUGGAUAAUCUACCUUUGAAUUUGGAAUAACUAUUCGAAAGGGUAGCUAAUACCGGAUAAGGUCUUUUGAUCUUUGGGUUGAGAGAUGAAAGGGAGCGUGGCAACACGCCUCUGUUUGAAGAUGAGUCCGCAUACCAUUAGCUAGUUGGUGGGGUAAAGGCCUACCAAGGCGAUGAUGGUUAGCUGGUCUGAGAGGAUGAUCAGCCACACUGGAACUGACACACGGUCCAGACUCCUACGGGAGGCAGCAGUGAGGAAUUUUGCGCAAUGGGCGAAAGCCUGACGCAGCAACGCCGCGUGAGUGAAGAAGGCCUUUGGGUCGUAAAGCUCUGUCAUCAGGGAAGAAGUUAAUGUAUUUGAAUAGAGUAUGUUAUUGACGGUACCUGAGAAGGAAGCACCGGCUAACUCCGUGCCAGCAGCCGCGGUAAU
rnacentral:rRNA from 1 species